rnacentral:rRNA from 1 species
UUGGAGGGCAAGUCUGGUGCCAGCAGCCGCGGUAAUUCCAGCUCCAAUGGCGUAUAUUAAAGUUGUUGCAGUUAAAAAGCUCGUAGUUGAAUUUCGGGAUCAAUAUUUCGGUCAUGCCGUUGGUAUGCACUGUUAUCAUUGAUUUCUCACCUUCUAAAGAACCGUAAUGCCAUUAAUUUGGUGUUACGGGGAAUUAGGACGUUUACCUUGAAAAAAUUAGAGUGUUUAAAGCAGGCUCACGCUUGAAUACAUUAGCAUGGAAUAAUGAAAUAGGACAUCCGAUUCUAUUUUGUUGGUUUCUAGGAUCGAUGUAAUGAUUAAUAGGGAUAGUUGGGGGCAUUAGUAUUCAAUUGUCAGAGGUGAAAUUCUUGGAUUUAUUGAAGACUAACUACUGCGAAAGCAUUUGCCAAGGGUGUUUUCAUUAAUCAAGAACGAAAGUUAGGGGAUCGAAGACGAUCAGAUACCGUUGUAGUCUUAACCAUAAACUAUGCCGACUAGGGAUCGGAUGAUGUUAAUUUUUUAAUGACUCAUUCGGCGCCUUACGGGAAAC